UUAGUAACGCGUGGGAACAUACCCUUUUCUACGGAAUAGCCUCGGGAAACUGAGAGUAAUACCGUAUAAGCCCUUCGGGGGAAAGAUUUAUCGGGAAAGGAUUGGCCCGCGUUAGAUUAGAUAGUUGGUGGGGUAAUGGCCUACCAAGUCUACGAUCUAUAGCUGGUUUUAGAGGAUGAUCAGCAACACUGGGAUUGAGACACGGCCCAGACUCCUACGGGAGGCAGCAGUGGGGAAUCUUAGACAAUGGGCGCAAGCCUGAUCUAGCCAUGCCGCGUGUGUGAUGAAGGUCUUAGGAUCGUAAAGCACUUUCGCCAGGGAUGAUAAUGACAGUACCUGGUAAAGAAACCCCGGCUAACUCCGUGCCAGCAGCCGCGGUAAUACGGAGGGGGUUAGCGUUGUUCGGAAUUACUGGGCGUAAAGCGUACGUAGGCGGAUCAGAAAGUUAGGGGUGAAAUCCCGAGGCUCAACCUCGGAACUGCCUCUAAAACUCCUGGUCUUGAGUUCGAGAGAGGUGAGUGGAAUUCCAAGUGUAGAGGUGAAAUUCGUAGAUAUUUGGAGGAACACCAGUGGCGAAGGCGGCUCACUGGCUCGAUACUGACGCUGAGGUACGAAAGUGUGGGGAGCAAACAGGAUUAGAUACCCUGGUAGUCCACACCGUAA
rnacentral:rRNA from 1 species